rnacentral:rRNA from 1 species
CCUACGGGAGGCAGCAGUGGGGAAUAUUGCACAAUGGGCGAAAGCCUGAUGCAGCAACGCCGCGUGAGCGAUGAAGGCCUUCGGGUCGUAAAGCUCUGUCCUCAAGGAAGAUAAUGACGGUACUUGAGGAGGAAGCCCCGGCUAACUACGUGCCAGAAGCCGCGGUAACACGUAGGGGGCUAGCGUUAUCCGGAAUUACUGGGCGUAAAGGGUGCGCAGGUGGUUUCUUAAGUCAGAGGUGAAGGGGUACGGCUCAACCGUAGUAAGCCUUUGAAACUGGGGAACUAGAGUGCAGGAGAGGGGAGUGGAAUUCCUGGUGUAGCAGUGAAAUGCGUAGAUAUUGAGAGGAACACGAGUGGCGAAGGCGGGUCUCUGGACUGUAACUGACGCUGAGGCACGAAGGCGUGGGGAGCAAACGGGAUUAGAUACCCUGGUAGUC